GCCUUCGUGGUGUAAUGGUCAGCACACUGAGCCGGUAUUAAAGAGGUCCGUGGUUCGAUCCCCGGCGAAGGCG
rnacentral:tRNA from 1 species